rnacentral:rRNA from 1 species
UGGCGGCGUGCCUAAUACAUGCAAGUCGAGCGGGAUUGGUGGAUCGCAAGUGAUGCCAGUCUAGCGGCGGACGGCUGAGUAACGCGUGGGUGACCUGCCUUGAAGUGGGGAAUAACGGUUCGAAAGAAUCGCUAAUACCGCAUGUGGUCGUGGCUUCGUUGUUACGACUAAAGCCGUAAGGCGCUUCGAGAGGGGCCUGCGUCCGAUUAGCUAGUUGGUGGGGUAAUGGCCUACCAAGGCUCCGAUCGGUAGCUGGUCUGAGAGGAUGAUCAGCCAGACUGGGACUGAGAACGGCCCAGACUCCUACGGGAGGCAGCAGUAAGGAAUUUUCCACAAUGGGCGAAAGCCUGAUGGAGCAACGCCGCGUGGGCGAAGAAGGCCUUCGGGUCGUAAAGCCCUUUUCUAGGGGACGAUAAUGACGGUACCCUAGGAAUAAGCCACGGCUAACUACGUGCCAGCAGCCGCGGUAAUACGUAGGUGGCGAGCGUUGUCCGGAUUUAUUGGGCGUAAAGAGCGCGGAGGUGGUGCCUUAAGUUGGGCGUGAAAUCCCCCUGGCUUAACUGGGGGAGGUCGUCCAAUACUGAGGUGCUUGAGGGUGGACGGGGAGAGCGGAAUUCCCGGUGUAGUGGUGAAAUGCGUAGAUAUCGGGAGGAACACCAGUGGCGAAGGCGGCUCUCUAGACCAUUCCUGACACUGAAGUGCGAAAGCGUGGGUAGCGAACGGAAUUAGAUACUCCGGUAGUCCACGCUGUAAACGAUGAACACUAGGUGUAGUGGGUAUCGACCCC